GUGCUCGCUCUGGCAGCACAUAGACUAAAAUUGGAGCGACACAGAGAUUAGCAUGGCCCUGCGCAAGGACGACACGCAAAUUCGUGAAGCAUUCCAUAUUUUU